rnacentral:rRNA from 1 species
UAACGCGUGGGUAACCUGCCUCAUACAGGGGGAUAACAGUUAGAAAUGACUGCUAAUACCGCAUAAGCGCACAGUGCUGCAUGGCACAGUGUGAAAAACUCCGGUGGUAUGAGAUGGACCCGCGUCUGAUUAGCUAGUUGGUGAGGUAACGGCCCACCAAGGCGACGAUCGGUAGCCGGACUGAGAGGUUGAACGGCCACAUUGGGACUGAGACACGGCCCAG